AUUGAACGCUGGCGGCAGGCCUAACACAUGCAAGUCGAACGGUAACAGGAAGAAGCUUGCUUCUUUGCUGACGAGUGGCGGACGGGUGAGUAAUGUCUGGGCAACUGCCUGAUGGAGGGGGAUAACUACUGGAAACGGUAGCUAAUAACGCAUAACGUCGCAAGACCAAAGAGGGGGACCUUCGGGACUCUUGCCAUCGGAUGUGCCCAGAUGGGAUUAGCUAGUAGGUGGGGUAACGGCUCACCUAGGCGACGAUCCCUAGCUGGUCUGAGAGGAUGACCAGCCACACUGGAACUGAGACACGGUCCAGACUCCUACGGGAGGCAGCAGUGGGGAAUAUUGCACAAUGGGCGCAAGCCUGAUGCAGCCAUGCCGCGUGUAUGAAGAAGGCCUUCGGGUUGUAAAGUACUUUCAGCGGGGAGGAAGGGAGUAAAGUUAAUACCUUUGCUCAUUGACGUUACCCGCAGAAGAAGCACCGGCUAACUCCGUG
rnacentral:rRNA from 1 species